AGCAGUAGCCGCGGGAAUACAGAGGGUGCGAGCGUUAAUCGGAUUUACUGGGCGUAAAGCGUGCGUAGGCGGCUUCUUAAGUCGGAUGUGAAAUCCCUGAGCUUAACUUAGGAAUUGCAUUCGAUACUGGGAAGCUAGAGUAUGGGAGAGGAUGGUAGAAUUCCAGGUGUAGCGGUGAAAUGCGUAGAGAUCUGGAGGAAUACCGAUGGCGAAGGCAGCCAUCUGGACAAAGACUGACGCUCAGGUGCGAAAGCGUGGGGAGCAAACAGGAUUAGAUACCCCAGUAGUCCCUGUCUCUUAUAC
rnacentral:rRNA from 1 species